UUUGAAGUCUUUCGGGUUAUAACUUGGCUUGGGUUAGGGUAUGGAUUAUAAACAAAAACUGAAAACAAGUGGGUUUUUGGUUCAGAGUCGAUGUUACAGACUGUUUUUGUCUCUUUUAUUUGCUCGGUUUUUCUUUUUUUCUAUUUUUCUACCAAAUGCCCUUUUUCGUGCUUCUUUUUGAAUCUUCGAGUUAUAAAUUUUUCUCUUUUUCUUUUUUUUUCUUUCUCUCGAUUCAAUUUUUUUAUUUUUGUUCUCGCACUUUCUUGGGCUUUGGGAGCUU
rnacentral:lncRNA from 1 species